rnacentral:rRNA from 1 species
AUUGAACGCUGGCGGCAGGCCUAACACAUGCAAGUCGAACGGUAACAGGAAGAAGCUUGCUUCUUUGCUGACGAGUGGCGGACGGGUGAGUAAUGUCUGGGAAACUGCCUGAUGGAGGGGGAUAACUACUGGAAACGGUAGCUAAUACCGCAUAACGUCGCAAGACCAAAGAGGGGGACCUUCGGGCCUCUUGCCAUCGGAUGUGCCCAGAUGGGAUUAGCUAGUAGGUGGGGUAACGGCUCACCUAGGCGACGAUCCCUAGCUGGUCUGAGAGGAUGACCAGCCACACUGGAACUGAGACACGGUCCAGACUCCUACGGGAGGCAGCAGUGGGGAAUAUUGCACAAUGGGCGCAAGCCUGAUGCAGCCAUGCCGCGUGUAUGAAGAAGGCCUUCUGGUUGUAAAGUACUUUCAGCGGGGAGGAAGGGAGUAAAGUUAAUACCUUUUCUCAUUGACGUUACCCGCAGAAGAAGCACCGGCUAACUCCGUG